GUCGGGAAUAUUGCGCAAUGGAGGAAACUCUGACGCAGUGACGCCGCGUAUAGGAAGAAGGUUUUAGGAUUGUAAACUAUUUUAGACAGGGAAGAAAAAAUGACAGUACCUGUAGAAUAAGCUCCGGCUAACUACGUGCCAGCAGCCGCGGUAAUACGUAGGGAGCAAGCGUUAUCCGGAAUUAUUGGGUGUAAAGGGUGCGUAGACGGGAAUUUAAGUUGGUUGUGAAAUCCCUUAGCUUAACUGAGGAACUGCAACCAAAACUGGAUUUCUUGAGUGCAGGAGAGGAAAGCGGAAUUCCUAGUGUAGCGGUGAAAUGCGUAGAUAUUAGGAGGAACACCAGUGGCGAAGGCGGCUUUCUGGACUGCAACUGACGUUGAGGCACGAAAGUGUGGGGAGCAAACAGGAUUAGAAACCCUAGUAGUCC
rnacentral:rRNA from 1 species